GGUGCCGGCCGACCCGGAAGCAUGUCUGUCCCUAGCGGAGGCGCGGGUGCCGUGCUGAGAGCGCCUGCCUGUGCGCCCCGAGCGGGGCUGGGACUCUUCCAAGAUGCCCACGUUCGCACAGAGACCCCGGAUCGCGGAAGCUCGCGUCUCGAAAGGCCUGCUGGUAGCUCAGGGAUGUCUCGUCUGUGAGUUACAGCUGCACGCUCUCCAGGAAAGAAGGAAUUUCCUCUUCUCUGGAAACCCCACCACACAGCUGGUUUCUCAUUGGUGCUGCUUGCCCAUUCCCUGAGCUGUGACUGCCAGAGGAGUGGGAGGUUGGUGGUGCCUCCAGCCCAUCAGGGGCAGGCCCUGGGACCGCCUGGGAACAGGAGGACUAUGGCACAAACCGAGUGAGUGAUGGGAGCAACCCGCAGGGCUCUGCCACAUCCCUGUCUUCCUUCACUGACAUGAAACGCAGAAAAGGCAGCUUUGCCACAACACAGGAGCACGCACCGAAUGUGGCCGCCCAGGGCUCUGUCCUUGACCCUGUUGUCCAGGACUGUUUACCAAGGGCUGACAGGCACUGAGUGCCCCGUGCACCUGGCCAGACACUGCACUCAUGCAGCGGAAAGGACAGUGAACGAGACUUUGUCCCUGGCCUCCAAAGGCUUAGGGCGUAGUGGCUGUCAUGAGGCACAGUGACAAGGGCCAGGAGGGGGACCUCUUAGGGGGCCAUGCAGUGAUGGAAGCCAGAAGGAAUGAAGGCCUGCAGUGAGGAUGGAGUGGUCGGCCUGAAGCCAUCUCUAGCAAGUGGUCAGGACGCUGAUUGUUCUGCGCAGGUUGGAGGUAGGUGGUGAGUCUGAGAAAGGGGCCGGAAAGACUCCCCAGCAACUGCUGGCAAAGGGUGAAGGGCACGUUCCCACAGGAUUCAAGCCAGCUGCCUUUGGAGGGGAGACGGGCACUCAGUUUAGGCGCUCCUACAGCAGGGUCAGCAAGACAAGCAGGUUGCGGCAAGGGUCUGCGCACUGCUGUGUAAAUGUAGGGGCAUCGGGGGGCAGAAAGACCAGGGGAGAAGUGUGCAUCACCCUUGGGGUUAAGGGACAGUUGUCUGCUAGGUGUUGCUUCCUGGAGAUGGCUGAAAAGCCAGUCCAGUCUGCAGGGACCAGGCCACCACCCACCUGAUGUGGGAGCAUUUCCCCCAAUCCCUGCUGGGCUGCUGAAUCUGGGGGACAUAGGGAAGCUGAGGCUGGUGUUCUGAGUAGUGGCAGAGCUGAGCCACAGGGCAUGUCUGAGGUCAGCCCCGAGCAAAAUGGAAUAGGGACUCAGGGUGGGUCAGGUAACUGGAAAGCGGGCACUGUGCACGCAGCCCUUGAGGGGAGCCAGGGUGGGUGGGGAUCCCCCACUGUGUGCAGAAGGCAGCAGCCUUGGAAGCAGGGUGUGCUCCUCGGUGUGGUCGCUCGAUACCAGAAAA
rnacentral:lncRNA from 1 species